rnacentral:rRNA from 1 species
AUUGAACGCUAGCGGCAUGCUUUACACAUGCAAGUCGAACGAGUGGCGGACGUGUGAGUAAUAUAUCGGAACGUGCCCAUUAGCGGGGGUUAACUACUCGAAAGAGUGGCUAAUACCGCAUACUUUCGGAUCGGCCUAUAUGGGAUUAGUUAGUGGGUGGGGUAAAGGCUCACCAUGGCAACGAUCCCUAGCUGGUUUGAGAGGACGACCAGCCACACUGGGACGGAGACACGGCCCAGACUCCUACGGGAGGCAGCAGUGGGGAAUUUUGGACAAUGGGGGAAACCCGGAUGCAGCCAUCCCGCGUGUAUGAGAAGGCCUUCGGGUUGUAAAGUACUUUUGGCGGAGAAGCGGUAUCUGCAGAAUAAGCACCGGCUAACUACGUGCCAGCAGCCGCGGUAAUUC